GCGCUGAAGUUGGUACUUGUACCAACUGGAUGAGCAGCGAACGGGUGAGUAACGCGUGGGGAAUCUGCCUUUGAGCGGGGGACAACAUUUGGAAACGAAUGCUAAUACCGCAUAAAAACUUUAAACACAAGUUUUAAGUUUGAAAGAUGCAAUUGCAUCACUCAAAGAUGAUCCCGCGUUGUAUUAGCUAGUUGGUGAGGUAAAGGCUCACCAAGGCGAUGAUACAUAGCCGACCUGAGAGGGUGAUCGGCCACAUUGGGACUGAGACACGGCCCAAACUCCUACGGGAGGCAGCAGUAGGGAAUCUUCGGCAAUGGACGAAAGUCUGACCGAGCAACGCCGCGUGAGUGAAGAAGGUUUUCGGAUCGUAAAACUCUGUUGGUAGAGAAGAACGUUGGUGAGAGUGGAAAGCUCAUCAAGUGACGGUAACUACCCAGAAAGGGACGGCUAACUACGUGCCAGCAGCCGCGGUAAUACGUAGGUCCCGAGCGUUGUCCGGAUUUAUUGGGCGUAAAGCGAGCGCAGGUGGUUUAUUAAGUCUGGUGUAAAAGGCAGUGGCUCAACCAUUGUAUGCAUUGGAAACUGGUAGACUUGAGUGCAGGAGAGGAGAGUGGAAUUCCAUGUGUAGCGGUGAAAUGCGUAGAUAUAUGGAGGAACACCGGUGGCGAAAGCGGCUCUCUGGCCUGUAACUGACACUGAGGCUCGAAAGCGUGGGGAGCAAAC
rnacentral:rRNA from 1 species